rnacentral:rRNA from 1 species
CAUGCAGUCGACGAGAAAGUGAUCUUCGGAUCGCAAGUAAAGUGGCGAACGGGUGAGUAACGCGUGGGUAAUCUGCCCUCGAGUUGGGAAUAACAUUCCUAACGGGAUGCUAAUACCGAAUAAUACCAUUUUGUCGCAUGGCAAUAUGGUCAAAGGCGGCCUCUACUUGUAAGCUGUCGCUUGAGGAUGAGCCCGCGUUUCAUUAGCUAGUUGGUGAGGUAAUGGCUCACCAAGGCUGCGAUGAAUAGCCGGCCUGAGAGGGUGUCCGGCCACACUGGGACUGAGAUACGGCCCAGACUCCUACGGGAGGCAGCAGUAGGGAAUUUUGCGCAAUGGGGGAAACCCUGACGCAGCGACGCCGCGUGGGUGAUGAAGCUCCUUGGAGUGUAAAGCCCUGUCAGGAGGGAAGAUACUGUUUUCGGAAUAACACUCCGAUUACGUGACGGUACCUCCAGAGGAAGCUCCGGCUAACUCCGUGCCAGCAGCCGCGGUAAUACGGGGGGAGCGAGCGUUGUUCGGAAUUACUGGGCGUAAAGGGCGUGUAGGCGGAUAUGGAAGUCAGGCGUGAAAACUCACAGCUUAACUGGGAGCCUGCGUCUGAAACUCCGUAUCUUGAGUACAGAAGAGGAGAGCGGAAUUCCUGGUGUAGCGGUGAAAUGCGUAGAUAUCAGGAGGAACACCGGUGGCGAAGGCGGCUCUCUGGUCUGAUACUGACGCUAAGGCGCGAAAGCGUGGGGAGCAAACAGGAUUAGAUACCCUGGUAGUCCACGCCGUAAACGAUGGGCACUAGGUGUUGGGGGUAUCGAUCCCUCCAGUGCCGAAGCUAACGCAUUAAGUGCCCCGCCUGGGGAGUACGAUCGCA